CCGAGUGGCGAACGGGUGAGGAACGCGUGGACAACCUACCCCGGCGUGGGGGAUACCCGCCAGAAAUGGCGGCUAAUACCGCGUACGGUUCUCCGGCGAAGGGCUGGGGAAAGAAAGCAGUAAUGCGCGCUGGGAGGGGUCUGCGGCCGAUUAGCUUGUUGGCGGGGUAACGGCCCACCAAGGCGAUGAUCGGUAGCUGGUCUGAGAGGAUGAUCAGCCACACGGGGACUGAGACGCGGCCCCG
rnacentral:rRNA from 1 species